UACGUAGGGUGCAAGCGUUUGUCCGGAAUUAUUGGGCGUAAAGAGCUCGUAGGCGGCUUGUCGCGUCUGCUGUGAAAACCCGAGGCUCAACCUCGGGCCUGCAGUGGGUACGGGCAGACUAGAGUGCGGUAGGGGAGAUUGGAAUUCCUGGUGUAGCGGUGGAAUGCGCAGAUAUCAGGAGGAACACCGAUGGCGAAGGCAGAUCUCUGGGCCGUAACUGACGCUGAGGAGCGAAAGCAUGGGGAGCGAACAGG
rnacentral:rRNA from 1 species